CUGGCUCAGGAUGAACGCUGGCGGUCUGCUUAACACAUGCAAGUCGAACGCAACCUUCGGGUUGAGUGGCGGACGGGUGAGUAACGCGUGAGAAUCUGCCUUGGGGUCGGGGACAACCACUGGAAACGGUGGCUAAUACCGGAUAAGCCUUUGGGUAAAAGAUUUAUUGCCCCAAGAGGAGCUCGCGUCUGAUUAGCUAGUUGGUGAGGUAAAAGCUCACCAAGGCAGCGAUCAGUAGCUGGUCUGAGAGGACGAUCAGCCACACUGGGACUGAGACACGGCCCAGACUCCUACGGGAGGCAGCAGUGGGGAAUUUUCCGCAAUGGGCGAAAGCCUGACGGAGCAAGACCGCGUGAGGGAGGAAGGCUCUUGGGUUGUAAACCUCUUUUCUCAGGGAAGAAGCUCUGACGGUACCUGAGGAAUCAGCCUCGGCUAACUCCGUGCCAGCAGCCGCGGUAAUACGGAGGAGGCAAGCGUUAUCCGGAAUUAUUGGGCGUAAAGCGUCCGCAGGUGGCGAUUCAAGUCUGCAGUCAAAGCACGGGGCUUAACUCCGUUAAGGCAGUGGAAACUGAAUAGCUAGAGUGCCGUAGGGGUAGAGGGAAUUCCCGGUGUAGCGGUGAAAUGCGUAGAGAUCGGAAGAACAUCGGUGGCGAAAGCGCUCUACUGGACGGCAACUGACACUCAGGGACGAAAGCUAGGGGAGCGAAUGGGAUUAGAUACCCCAGUAGUCCUAGCUGUAAACGAUGGAUACUAGGUGUAGCUUGUAUCGACCCGAGCUGUGCCGAAGCUAACGCGUUAAGUAUCCCGCCUGGGGAGUACGCACGCAAGUGUGAAACUCAAAGGAAUUGACCGGGGGCCCGCACAAGCGGUGGAGUAUGUGGUCUAAUUCGAUGCA
rnacentral:rRNA from 1 species